GACAUACCACUUGUUGCCUCGGCGGAUCAGCCCGCUCCCGGUAAAACGGGACGGCCCGCCAGAGGACCCCUAAACUCUGUUUCUAUAUGUAACUUCUGAGUAAAACCAUAAAUAAAUCAAAACUUUCAACAACGGAUCUCUUGGUUCUGGCAUCGAUGAAGAACGCAGCAAAAUGCGAUAAGUAAUGUGAAUUGCAGAAUUCAGUGAAUCAUCGAAUCUUUGAACGCACAUUGCGCCCGCCAGUAUUCUGGCGGGCAUGCCUGUUCGAGCGUCAUUUCAACCCUCAAGCACAGCUUGGUGUUGGGACUCGCGUUAAUUCGCGUUCCUCAAAUUGAUUGGCGGUCACGUCGAGCUUCCAUAGCGUAGUAGUAAAACCCUCGUUACUGGUAAUCGUCGCGGCCACGCCGUUAAACCCCAACUUCUGAAUGUUGACCUCGGAUCAGGUAGGAAUACCCGCUGAACUUAAGCAUAUCAA
rnacentral:rRNA from 1 species